CGCACCUUGCACCCUCCUGGUAUUCCGGAGGGUAUGCCCGGUUGAGUGUCAUGAAUAUCUCAACUCCAACGUUUUGUUAAACGGUCUUGUUGACGUUGUCCUGCCGGCCUAGCGAGGCUGACUGCGACUGUUGCGAGGCUGAAGCGUUGGAGCUUGGACCUUGAGCUCUGUUGGCCUUCCCAGGUCGACUGGGCUAGAAAAUGCAUCAGCGAUGACGUCCCUGGGUCCAUCUCGGCGUGAUAAGUUGAUCGUCGCAAAGGUCUCUCGGGUUGGCUCGCUCCUAAUCGUCUUCGGGACAGGCCUCUGACGUUUACACCUCAACUCGGGUAGGACUACCCGCUGAACUUAA
rnacentral:rRNA from 1 species